rnacentral:rRNA from 1 species
UUCGGUGGUUAUGGCGGAGGGGAAACACCCGGUCCCAUUCCGAACCCGGAAGUUAAGCCCUUCAGCGCCGAUGGUACUGCAUGGGAGACUGUGUGGGAGAGUAGGACACCGCCGGAC